UUUUUUAGGGGGACUUACUUAGCUUUAGAAAGGGGGUCUUAGGGUCAGGGAUGGGCCUUAGGGCUGGGCCUUAAGGUUAGGGAUAAGAUACUGGGAGGGUCAUCCAAAUUGGGGUUGGGGACCUUAAGGUUAGGGCCUAAUUGGGGUCAUGUAUUUAGACUUGGGGUCCCAUAGUUGGGGUUAGUAGGCCAGAUUAAGGUCAGGAAAGCCUCUAUUGGGGCUCGGGGUCCCCAGCGAUGGACCCCGGUCGAGGAGGCACUGGCGGGUUAGGUGAGGGGAAAAGAUCAGCCCCCUUCUGAGAAGGGGACCGGGAAUGCACUGUCCAUCCUCUGUUGAGGACCACCGCCAGGGACUUUUACAGGUAAGUAUUUACUUUAUAUAUGCAUCACUUUGCUUUUCCAAUUGUUGAUUUUGUUUGUUCUCUCCACAGGUUUUCCCACAGGUUCCGGAUCCAGGUAAGUACAGGUAGGUAUGAACUUGUUUUUAAACUGUAUUUAGCUUUUUAAACUGUUUUUAAACUGUAUUUAGCUUUAACUCUCUUCUACUGGGGACUCCUAUUUGGUCUACCCUUCUUCUAAUGGGGACUCCUAUUUGGGUCUACCCUUUUACUGUGUUUCAAACCUUUUAACCUGUUUAGUUUUUUUAGAUGUGGUUCCACCUGUUUUUAGGCCCAAUUUUAGCUAUUUAUUAUCCCUUAUUUGGGUUUUUAUGCUGGUUUCGCCUUUGUUAUAUAUGUAAUAAAAAAUCAUAAGUAUAAACCAACCCAUCCCUGUGUGCCGCUUUGUCCUUGAAUUAUUUCUAUUGUUCUGGGGACUCCUAUUUGGGUCUACCCUCCUUACUCUUGGGGACUCCUAUUUGGGUCUACCCUCUUCAUUUCUUUGGGGACUCCUAUUUGGUCUACCCUUCUCUGCUGAGUUUAAAGUGUGCAACCGGCGACGUUUCGACCUCGAUUUGGGUCUUCCUCAGGCCUAGCACACUGUCUGACUUGCGGCUCCCCAUACUGCGACCUCCCUAUGGAGGUGGCUUGCCCCAUGUGGCGCUCUCCCUAAGGAGAGGGCUUCCCAUCUACCCCGGUCGAAAGAAAAACAUAAAAUGAGCCAUGCCAGAGUUGGCUUCUAUUAGUAUUACUUUAGAUAUAGUUUUACUUAGUUUAGGUUUAGGGCUCCUGUUACUGUUUGUUUUAAAUUCAAGCUUCUGAUUUAGUUUUAGCCUUUUAGGGGGGGAUUUGUCUUGGGUUUAUUCAACUUCUGAUUUAGUUUUAGUUUUUUAGGGGGACUUACUUAGCUUUAGAAAGGGGGUCUUAGGGUCAGGGAUGGGCCUUAGGGCUGGGCCUUAAGGUUAGGGAUAAGAUACUGGGAGGGUCAUCCAAAUUGGGGUUGGGGACCUUAAGGUUAGGGCCUAAUUGGGGUCAUGUAUUUAGACUUGGGGUCCCAUAGUUGGGGUUAGUAGGCCAGAUUAAGGUCAGGAAAGCCUCUAUUGGGGCUCGGGGUCCCCAGCGAUGGACCCCGGUCGAGGAGGCACUGGCGGGUUAGGUGAGGGGAAAAGAUCAGCCCCCUUCUGAGAAGGGGACCGGGAAUGCACUGUCCAUCCUCUGUUGAGGACCACCGCCAGGGACUUUUACAGGUAAGUAUUUACUUUAUAUAUGCAUCACUUUGCUUUUCCAAUUGUUGAUUUUGUUUUUUCUCUCCACAGGUUUUCCCACAGGUUCCGGAUCCAGGUAAGUACAGGUAGGUAUGAACUUGUUUUUAAACUGUAUUUAGCUUUUUAAACUGUUUUUAAACUGUAUUUAGCUUUUUAACUGUGAACUGUUUUUAAACUAUAUUUAGCUUUAACUCUCUUCUACUGGGGACUCCUAUUUGGUCUACCCUUCUUCUAAUGGGGACUCCUAUUUGGGUCUACCCUUUUACUGUGUUUCAAACCUUUUAACCUGUUUAGUUUUUUUAGAUGUGGUUCCACCUGUUUUUAGGCCCAAUUUUAGCUAUUUAUUAUCCCUUAUUUGGGUUUUUAUGCUGGUUUCGCCUUUGUUAUAUAUGUAAUAAAAAAUCAUAAGUAUAAACCAA